CCUACGGGAGGCUGCAGUGAGGAAUAUUGGUCAAUGGACGAGAGUCUGAACCAGCCAAGUAGCGUGAAGGAUGACUGCCCUAUGGGUUGUAAACUUCUUUUAUAUGGGAAUAAAACGUUCCACGUGUGGGAUUUUGUAUGUACCAUAUGAAUAAGGAUCGGCUAACUCCGUGCCAGCAGCCGCGGUAAUGCGGAGGAUCCGAGCGUUAUCCGGAUUUAUUGGGUUUAAAGGGAGCGUAGGUGGAUUGUUAAGUCAGUUGUGAAAGUUUGCGGCUCAACCGUAAAAUUGCAGUUGAAACUGGCAGUCUUGAGUACAGUAGAGGUGGGCGGAAUUCGUGGUGUAGCGGUGAAAUGCUUAGAUAUCACGAAGAACUCCGAUUGCGAAGGCAGUUCACUGGACUGCAACUGACACUGAGGCUCGAAAGUGUGGGUAUCAAACAGGAUUAGAUACCCCAGUAGUC
rnacentral:rRNA from 1 species